rnacentral:rRNA from 1 species
GAUUAACGCUGGCGGCGUGCAUAACACAUGCAAGUCGAACGAUGGAACUUAGUAGACUUCUUCGGAAAGACACUAAGCGGAUUAGUGGCGAACGGGUGAGUAACGCGUGAGUAACCUGCCUUACACAAGGGGAUAGCCUUUGGAAACGAAGAAUAAUACCCUAUAAAACCAUAAAAGCACAUGCUAGAAUGGUCAAAGUGAUAGCGGUGUAAGAUGGACUUGCGUCUGAUUAGCUAGUUGGUGAGAUAAAAGCUCACCAAGGCAACGAUCAGUAGCCGGCUUGAGAGAGUGUACGGCCACAUUGGGACUGAGACACGGCCCAGACUCCUACGGGAGGCAGCAGUGGGGAAUUUUGCACAAUGGGGGAAACCCUGAUGCAGCGACGCCGCGUGAUUUAGAAGGCCUUCGGGUUGUAAAAAUCUUUUGUAUAGGAAGAAAAUGACAGUACUAUACGAAUAAGGUCCGGCUAAUUACGUG